rnacentral:tRNA from 1 species
GGAUUGUGGCUCAGUGGUAGACCACUCGCUUAGCGUGUGCGAGACCCUGGGUUCAAUCCUCAGCACCA